rnacentral:rRNA from 1 species
ACGGAAGGCAGCAGUAGGGAAUCUUCCACAAUGGGCGAAAGCCUGAUGGAGCAACGCCGCGUGUGUGAUGAAGGGUUUCGGCUCGUAAAACACUGUUGUAAGAGAAGAAUGACAUUGAGAGUAACUGUUCAAUGUGUGACGGUAUCUUACCAGAAAGGAACGGCUAAAUACGUGCCAGCAGCCGCGGUAAUACGUAUGUUCCAAGCGUUAUCCGGAUUUAUUGGGCGUAAAGCGAGCGCAGACGGUUAUUUAAGUCUGAAGUGAAAGCCCUCAGCUCAUCUGAGGAAUUGCUUUGGAAACUGGAUGACUUGAGUGCAGUAGAGGAAAGUGGAACUCUAUGUGUAGCGGUGAAAUGCGUAGAUAUAUGGAAGAACACCAGUGGCGAAGGCUGCUUUCUGGACUGUAACUGACGUUGAGGCUCGAAAGUUUGUGUAGCAAACAUGAUUAGAUACCCUGGUA